GGACAGUAUCAAGGAUAGCGAGACAGUCAGAAGGACUGCUAGUUGGUUAGAUGACCAAAUGGAUGGACAGAUGAUCAGACAGACACAUCGCUGGGCAGAUGAAAGGAUUGACAGGAUUCUAUAGAGCAAAAGUUCCUGAGUGCAUCUUCGAGAACCAGUGCAAACUUGGACUUUUAUUUGGACUCCAAGAUCCCAGUCCCCUUUGGCCAGGUAAGCAGCAGCUGCAGAAUGCUGAUUACAUGAGGUCUAAGAGGUGUUAUGAGAUGGAGCAGAACAAAAAUGUUGAGCACAUGGGGGCUUUCAAGGUCGAAAUAUGUGCUAUGGUGUAUUGCGUAAUUGCUUACAAGUGAUAGAAACUUUCAGAGCAAAAAAGGAACCAGGGAGGGC
ensembl:lncRNA